CGGGACGGGUGAGUAAUGUCUGGGAAACUGCCUGAUGGAGGGGGGUAACUACUGGAAACGGUAGCUAAUACCGCAUAACGUCGCAAGACCAAAGAGGGGGACCUUCGGGCCUCUUGCCAUCGGAUGUGCCCAGAUGGGAUUAGCUAGUAGGUGGGGUAACGGCUCACCUAGGCGACGAUCCCUAGCUGGUCUGAGAGGAUGACCAGCCACACUGGAACUGAGACGCGGCCCAG
rnacentral:rRNA from 1 species